rnacentral:rRNA from 1 species
GAGACCUCACGUCAGGCGGGGCUACCCGCUGAGGUUAUGCAUAUCAAUAAAGGCGAGAAAUUUUUG